GGUUCACUGAGACUCUACUCGACGUGAGAGCAAGCAACGCGCAUUGUCGGCAAUUACAGGGACACUAAGCAAAAAGUUUGUCGACGGCGUCGUCGUCGCCGUGGUGGUCCGUAGAAAGUCUUUGAAAGCGUCGGCCCUAUUGGCAGACUGUCAUUGUUGCCAGACACUUCACCGUGCGUGUGCGGAGACGGGAACACAGAAUCACGAAUAGAACACAGACUACAGGAGGGGUGCGGUGACUUGCGGUGUUAGAGAGAGCAGCUCCUCCAUCAUGGUCAGAUUUCCUUCGUAUUUUGACAUUGUCACCGGAGUCUCCCAUGACAUUGGGGAGCUUACGUACACUACCUAAAG